UUUCGAAAACUAAAUAGAAAAACAAAAUUUUAUUAUUGUCGUUUCUUUUAUGUUAGCUAUACUUUCAUGCUGUCUAUAUUAGCUUCACUAUUGUAGAUAUAGAUUUUCGGCGUUAUGCAUUGGUUAGAUAAACGGAUACGUAACUUAACAAUUGCUGUCUUAAGAUUGUUGUCGGUUUGCUUAUCUUCCGUGGGUGUGAUAGAUAAGAAAUUUUGAUAACACGUCUGCCAUUUUAACUUAGAAAGUUUUACCUAUAACAUCAUGGAAUUUUAAGUAAAUAAACGGAUCUCGUUAUAAGUAACAAAAUAAUGUACAAGAUGCUUUCCAUUAUUUUCAUUGGUUUGUUGGUGAUGCUUGGCACAGUUGAAGCGGUGAAAAAGAGUGAGCUUUAUUAUCUUCAACAUACAUGCAUGUUCAGCGUCUUGGUAUGUAUAACUCGCCACAGCGUUAUGUAACCUGAGCUAGGAUUUAUGUAUGGUGAUAAAUACUUAUGAGUGAUGAAUUUAUCACCAUAGAUUCCUGCUCAAGAAAUAUUUAUAUUUAUUAUAAUUUCAAGUUGAACACGUAAUAAAUAGAUAAAAUCAUGUAAUUGUUAUAGAUAAAUUUAUUAAUUGCCAUUCGUCAUUUCUUCUCAAUACUAACACCGGUUGUAAACUAGGCGAUCAAUACCGUUAUAACAGUAAAAAGUUUACUUAGUUAUAAAAUUUUAGCUCAGUUUAUUCUUCUGCCAAUGCAUCCAUUAAUUAUCUAAUCUGAUCUCUAACUCAACUGUAGCCCUCUGUUAUGAAUUCCAACAAAAUAGACUGAAAUGGUUAGAGGGAGAUACACAAAAAACAUUUUGUUUCAGUUUAAUAUAAUAAUCUGCAAGCUAAAUUCUAUUUAGUAAAAGUCAAACCAGCAAGUGACCAUCCAUGUAGCCAUUUGAACUGUCAGUAUUGCAGCAAAAUUUUCUUUUACAUACAUACUAUUGGAGUCGAAAUAUAAUCUUAGGUCUUCAUGCUCAGAAUAAACAACAAGCUUCUUACAGCUAGAGAACUAAUUGACUGAUCCUUUAAAAUGCUGAGCUGACUAAAGAAAGCAAAUCAACAAUAACAAUUUCCUGUUAUAGAUUAAAAUGUAAACCCAAUAUUUGAUUCUGAGAU